GUACAAACUAAAUAUUUACAGUGCCUUGGGCUGGAAAAGACACCUGUCAUGGCACUGGAGAUGGGGAAGAGCCCUGCUGGUCUGUGGGAAGUAGAAAAAUGUAUUGUAGAAACACUGGUGUUCUGGAAGGUGAGGAUCUAGAGCAGGUACAGACGAGGCUUUCCAGGGAACCUGUCCUUGAUGUUGUGAGGGGUGGCAGUAAGGGGCUGGAAACAUCUCUGAGAGGUUGGGGCUGUUGUGGUUGCCUCCAGAGGCUGAUGCAUCUCACUCCUUUUUCCUUUGCCCAGAGGGGUGGGUCCUGGCUGCAACACACGGGAAAUAGCUCACAAACUGAUCGAGCUGAAGGCAGACAUAGAGGACCUGGAGCAGCGGGAGCAGGAGCUGGAGCAGCAGAAGAUGUGGGUUCAGCAGAGCAUCAAAAACGUUACAGAAGACAUGCAGAACAGUCGAUUAGCAUAUGUGACACAUGAAGACAUCUGCAAGUGCUUCACAGGUGAGGAAUUGGUGCUCCAUGAUAAAGAUGUGACUCUGCACUUCUCUCAGGCUCUCCCAGUUGCUGUCCUUUCUCCAGGGAAGAGGGGGCAGCAUACCACAGGCUACCCAGCAUCAAGUUAAAUGUAGAGUGAGCUCUGAUGCCAUCCUGGUUUGUGUACCACUGAACUGUAGCUUUCUUGUCACCGUCAGAGGGGGCAGGCAGUAUUUUAACUUGUGUUUAAAGGAAUAUAGCUGUUGCUCCUAGGAAGUCUUUUUGCUGGGGAGUCACUGUGUGGGUGUAUGAGUGUUAUGUUAGAAAUCCUUUAUUUUAAGGGCUUGGGUGGGCAAUGUUCUUAUAAUAGAAAACAUUUUAUUGCAUGGUAGAAAUUGGGCUGUAAGCAGGGAAGUAGUAUAAAAGGUGGUCCCUCAGCUGCAUCAUCUUCCCUGCCAACAAGACUGCAAGAAAGAGAUAGAGAAGAACAGGACAGAAGGGAACACAGCACUUGCCCUGCCCUCACUCCCCUGUGUGCUGCUUUCCUAAAGUUGGAGUGGGGACCCAUAUCAAAAGUCUCACAUUCAGUCUCUUUGGGGCAAGAGUGAAGAAAACCCACCGGAGUCUUUUGUUUCUCCUGUUGCUGAUUUCAGUGAUAGAUGUAAGGCCAAAGUAACCCUGGUGGUCAUCGUGCACUGGGGCAGCCUGCACUACCCAAACUGUUCUUCUCAGCUGUAGUGGUGCAGAGUCACAGCUCCUUUCUGCUGCGGUGGACACCCGACCUCUCCUGACCUGGCAACCUGCAUCUGCUUGCUUGCUGCAGAGAUUGAAGCUGUUCAUCCUGACCGCCCCCAGCCACGCGUAAUCUCACCCCUGUCUGACUCUCCUGUCUCCUCCAAGCCCUCUUCUCACCCUGCACUUCAUCAGCCCUUCUGUUUGUCAUCUCUUGCCUUUGUGCUUUCCUUGUUCACCAGCUUUUACACUGCUCAGGUCCCCGCUGGUGU
rnacentral:lncRNA from 1 species